rnacentral:tRNA from 1 species
GGGGAUGUAGCUCAGUGGUAGAGCGCUCGCUUUGCAUGCGAGAGGCCCCGGGUUCAAUCCCCGGCAUCUCCA